rnacentral:misc_RNA from 1 species
GUCUAGAGCUAGUAAGAGCUUUGAACUGAAGUAUGAGACAUUUUGCAUAUUCCUCCUGCAAAUAAUUAAUUAUAAAUAUAUCUCCUCAUUUUCUACUGUGACAUUUGGGAUCUGAGAAAUCUUUGACCACUUAGGGCCAUAUCCCUUCGCACAACUUUUCUCAAGAAGGGAAACUUUAUAUAAAAUACAGAGAUGUUAAAUUUGAGAGGUGUUGCAUGACUGUAGCUGUAGCUAGAUACUUGAUAUUCUCAUUAAACAACUACUCUUUU